rnacentral:rRNA from 1 species
GACGAACGCUGGCGGCGUGCUUAACACAUGCAAGUCGAACGAAGAGCGAUGGAAGCUUGCUUCUCUCAAUCUUAGUGGCGAACGGGUGAGUAACGCGUAAUCAACCUCCCCUUCAGAGGGGUACAACAGUUGGAAACGACUGCUAAUACCGCAUACGAUCUAAUCUCGGCAUCGAGGAUAGAUGAAAGGUGGCCUCUACAUUUAAGCUAUCACUGAAGGAGGGGAUUUCGUUUGAUUAGCUAGAUGGGGGGGUAACGGCCCACCGAGGCGAGGAACAGUAGCCGGUCUGCAAGGAGGCGCGGCAAAACUGGGACGGGAGCACGGCCCAGAACACUACGGGAGGGAGCAGUGGGGGACCUUCCGGAAUGGACGAAAGGCUGAAGGAGGAACGCCGCGUGAGCGACGGAGGCCGUCGGGUUGUGAAGCUCAGUUAAUCGGGACGAAAGGCAUUCUUGCGAAUAGUGGGAAGGAUUGACGGUACCGGAAGAGAAAGCCACGGCUAACUACGUG